GAGGGAACUGAGGCCCGGAGAAGUGAACUGACUUGUCCAAGGUCACACAGAAGACAAGUGGGAGAAAAGCAAUGGGACGGGAGCAGAAACGUGGAGACUGGGAACACCAGGAGAGUUGGGGAAGGGGGUCUGCCUCUCUGAUUCCCACCAGCAGCGCUGAAUAUAUGACCUGCUUCAACUUCGCUUUGAAAUAAUGGAAAAUCCUCCCGGCUCCGUGGCUCCGCUAAAGCGUGGAAUAUUUGAUUUAACCCUAAUGCAAAUCACACCGGCAGGAAAUGUCGUAAAGAGAAAACUAAUCUUCUGGAGGAAAAAUAAAUUAUCAACUCUGCUGCGAAGGAAAAGAAAAGUU